rnacentral:rRNA from 1 species
UACGGGGGGGGCAAGCGUUGUUCGGAAUUACUGGGCGUAAAGGGCUCGUAGGUGGCCGACUAAGUCAGACGUGAAAUCCCUCGGCUUAACCGGGGAACUGCGUCUGAUACUGGACGGCUUGAGUUCGGGAGAGGGAUGCGGAAUUCCAGGUGUAGCGGUGAAAUGCGUAGAUAUCGUAAGGAAGACCAGUGGCGAAGGCGGGUCUCUGGACAGUUCCUGACGCUGAGGCACGAAGGCCAGGGGAGCAAACGGG